rnacentral:rRNA from 1 species
AUUGAACGCUGGCGGCAUGCUUUACACAUGCAAGUCGAACGGUAACAGGUUAAGCUGACGAGUGGCGAACGGGUGAGUAAUGCAUCGGAACGUGCCCGGUCGUGGGGGAUAACGCAGCGAAAGCUGCGCUAAUACCGCAUACGAUCUAAGGAUGAAAGCGGGGGACCGUAAGGCCUCGCGCGAUCGGAGCGGCCGAUGUCAGAUUAGGUAGUUGGUGGGGUAAAGGAUACCCAAGCCAACGAUCUGUAGCUGGGCUGAGAGGACGACCAGCCACACUGGGACUGAGACACGGCCCAGACUCCUACGGGAGGCAGCAGUGGGGAAUUUUGGACAAUGGGCGAAAGCCUGAUCCAGCAAUGCCGCGUGCAGGAAGAAGGCCUUCGGGUUGUAAACUGCUUUUGUACGGAGCGAAAAGGUCUCCUCUAAUACAGGGGGCUCAUGACGGUACCGUAAGAAUAAGCACCGGCUAACUACGUGCCAGCCGCCGCCGUAA